CGAGGAAUCUUGGGCAAUGGGCGCAAGCCUGACCCAGCGACGCCGCGUGGGGGAUGACGGCCCUCGGGUUGUAAACCCCUUUUGCGUGGGACGAAGUACUGACGGUACCACGCGAAUCAGCCACGGCUAACUACGUGCCAGCAGCCGCGGUAAUACGUAGGUGGCAAGCGUUGUCCGGAUUUACUGGGCGUAAAGCGCGCGCAGGCGGCUUCUUAAGUCCGGCGUGAAAGCUCCUGGCUCACCUGGGAG
rnacentral:rRNA from 1 species